rnacentral:rRNA from 1 species
AAUAUCCUAGUGGCGAACGGGUGAGUAACGCGUGAGCAACCUGCCUUGUACAACGGGAUACCCGAGGGAAACUUCGGUUAAUACGGUAUAAGACCACACUACCGCAUGGUAGAGGGGUAAAAGGAGAAAUCCGGUAUAAGAUGGGCUCGCGUCGCAUUAGCUAGUUGGUAAGGUAACGGCUUACCAAGGCGACGAUGCGUAGCCGACCUGAGAGGGUGAUCGGCCACAUUGGGACUGAGACACGGCCCAGACUCCUACGGGAGGCAGCAG